AAGGCUUAGUUGAGUUGAGUUUGAGUUUACAAAUAUUUUUAAAACAUCCAUCACAACAUGUCAAAGCAGGUUUUCCAACUGCAAAAUGCACAUUUUGACUUGUCAAGUUAGAGUUUAGGAAGAGAAGGGAAGAUAUGUCUGGAGCUUCCCUUUUUCAUGCCAGAUGAAUUCCAUCAAUCAAGAACAUAUCCUAAAUGGGUUUUCUUCUCCCAUAUUAUUCACCUAUCCUAUAGAAGUCUCUUGACAAUCCAUUUCUUAAUUUUCCACCUCAUCACCUUGGGUUCUCUAACAAACUAUACCAGUUCCAUGCUGGUCCGUUUUAAUUAUGCUACUCGCAUUAGGUCAUUUUGGAAGCUUUCACAAACCAACAAGCCAUUAUUUAAUUAGCCAAAUGAAAUAACUACAAAUUUGUAUAUGCCAAGCCCCCAUAUAUAGUCUUAAAUAAAAGAUAAAGCAAAAGCAUUGGACAAGAAGAUGUAAGAAUAGGAUAAGUGCAAUUCAACAAGUAGAUAAGCAGUAACGCCAUGCAUGUAGAACUAACAGUUUGAUCUGGAAAAUUUUGAUUAGAGAAUUAGUCCCACAAUACAUAGAAAAGAGUAGCUAGUAGGUAGCAUAUAGAACAAAAUAAAGAUAAGGCUGAAGUAUGAUUAGAAUAUGCUUGAUUUGAUAGAUCACAAAGACAAAAGGGUAGGCAAACAAAUGAAGAAAAAGAAGGUAAAGGGGGUUUUGGGGGGGAAGGAAGGGG
rnacentral:misc_RNA from 1 species